rnacentral:rRNA from 1 species
GCAAUCGGCCAUAGGAUCGAGAAAGCAGCGCUUCCCGUUCGCUCAGCGGUACUUAAGCUCGAUGCCGGCUAGUCAGUACUGAAGUGGGUGACCAUUUGGGAAUCCUGGCUGCUGAUUGUU